rnacentral:rRNA from 1 species
AGAACGAACGCUGGCGGCAUGCCUAAUACAUGCAAGUCGAACGAAGGCUUCGGCCUUAGUGGCGCACGGGUGCGUAACGCGUGGGAAUCUGCCCCUUGGUUCGGAAUAACAGUUGGAAACGACUGCUAAUACCGGAUGAUGACGAAAGUCCAAAGAUUUAUCGCCAAGGGAUGAGCCCGCGUAGGAUUAGCUAGUUGGUGAGGUAAAGGCUCACCAAGGCGACGAUCCUUAGCUGGUCUGAGAGGAUGAUCAGCCACACUGGGACUGAGACACGGCCCAGACUCCUACGGGAGGCAGCAGUAGGGAAUAUUGGACAAUGGGCGAAAGCCUGAUCCAGCAAUGCCGCGUGAGUGAUGAAGGCCUUAGGUUGUAAAGCUCUUUACCCGAGAUGAUAAUGACAGUAUCGGAGAAUAAGCCCCGGAUAACUCCGCGCCAGCAGCCGC